rnacentral:rRNA from 1 species
UACGGAGGGUGCAAGCGUUAUCCGGAUUCACUGGGUUUAAAGGGUGCGUAGGAGGGCAGGUAAGUCAGUGGUGAAAUCCCCGAGCUUAACUUGGGAACUGCCGUUGAUACUAUCUGUCUUGAAUACCGUGGAGGUGAGCGGAAUAUGUCAUGUAGCGGUGAAAUGCAUAGAUAUGACAUAGAACACCAAUUGCGAAGGCAGCUGGCUACACAGAUAUUGACGCUGAGGCACGAAAGCGUGGGGAUCAAACAGG